GGGCCGCUAGCUCAAUUGGCAGAGCAACUGACUCUUAAUCAGUAGGUUACAGGUUCGAGACCUGUGCGGCUCA
rnacentral:tRNA from 1 species